GACGAACGCUGGCGGCGUGCUUAACACAUGCAAGUCGAACGCUGAAGACCUGGCUUUUGUUGGGUUGGAUGAGUGGCGAACGGGUGAGUAACACGUGAGUAACCUGCCCUCUUCUUUGGGAUAACGCCCGGAAACGGGUGCUAAUACUGGAUAUUCACUGAUCUUCGCAUGGGGGUUGGUGGAAAGGGUUGUUCUGGUGGGGUAUGGGCGCGCGGCCUAUCAGCUGGUUGGUGGGGUGAUUGCCUACCAAGGCUUUGACGGGUGGCUGGCCUGGGAGGGUGACCGGUGAGGUUGGGACGGGGAAACGGCCCAGACUCAUGCGGGAGUCGGCAGUGGGGAGUAUUGCACAAUGGGCGAAAGCAUGAGGCAGCGGCGCCGCGUGAGGGAUGGAGGCCUGCGGGUUGGAAACCUCUUUCGCUAAUGGUCAAGCCGCAACUGUGGGUUGUGGUGAGGGUAGUGGGUAAAGAAGCGCCGGCUAACUACGUG
rnacentral:rRNA from 1 species